rnacentral:lncRNA from 1 species
CUCAGGUGAUCCACCUGCCUCGGCCUCUCAAAGUGCUGGGAUUACAGGCGUGAGCCACCAUGCCUGGCAUAUAUGGCAAAGUUUUAACACCAUUUUUUACUAAGAUAAGUAUCAUAAAGGACUUUGUAAAGAAUAUAUUACAACCGAUCAGGCCAGUGGCUUUUUGUUUGUUUGUUUAGCAGGAUUUGAUUGAACCUCAUCAUGCUAUAGAUCUUCCAUUCAGGGAUGAUGAUGUGGGCAUAGUUCAGUGGAGGCUGCCUGCAAUGAAACUGGGCAGAGGCAAGAAUCGAGAGAUCAGCUUUAGCCCAGCUCCCAGGAGCACCAGAGUUAAGAAGGAUAUCUCCUAGAGGGAAAGCCAGAGACCAGGCAAGGGAACAUACAUGAACACCCAGCCUGUGCUCUGGUGUGAGGUUGCAACAGGAGUAGGAUUGGUUCAAUCAGCAUAUUUUCUUUCAUGUACUAGGUUGAAAGUAUUAGUCCAUUUUAUAGAUGAAGAAAUGGAGGCCCAGAGAGAUCACGUGACUUAGCCAAGUCCACCAACUAAUAUUGGGAAGCUCAGCAGGGUCCUGGGGGCCCACAGGAAUGUGAAUAAACACGCUUGGAAAGUCUGCAGAAUUUCCAGUCCUAGCCUCCUGCUGGUGUGAACCUGGGCUCCUGUGCCUGGGACCCUGGGAGGGCCUAGGGGAUGCCAAAUUCCAGGGUCCAGAAAGAGCUUGGGAUAAAAUGAACAUCCAAGGGGAGGGCUUUGACCUGGGCUGAGUCUGCCUGUGCCGAGUCUGCCUGUGCCAUCCAACUGGAGUCUCAAGUCCUGAGGCAGGACGUCCAGAUGCCCCAGUGCAGGGUCCUCCUGAUCAACACCUGCUCCCCUGUACUCAUUAGCAACCUCACCCACCCUACUCUCAAAGCACACUUGGCUCUCAUAUCCAGGAGCUCUGCAUCUGUAGAUUCAGCAACAGCAGAUGGAAAAUAUUCAGAAAAUAAAUUGGACAGUUAUAUUUCUAUUGAA